GGAUGAGCAAUACAUAGCCCAGGCGGGGAUGGAGGAAAAUCUAUAUCCAAUUUUACCCAUGAUAGAGGUAGCUAACCCUCGUGCAGGAGAAUUCCUAAACCCACAGGAUCCAUUACAGGGUGCACAUCCCCCACAGCUGUUGUUGUUUCGGCCAUGGACGGAGCAGGAAGCAUUAGAUGCCUGUAGGGGCGUAUGCGAUGUUGAGAAGGACCCGACUGCUUAUGCUGAACAAGUAUGUGGGUUGAUUGAGACAUGGCAUUUAAAUGGACUGGAGGUGGAAAAGGUUUUAAAACUAACACUUAGACACCGAUAUCCAGUAGUGGUGGGCGGUUAUACCGGGAGACAAGUUAACCGUCAGCCCCUAGCACAUAACUCUAAUGAGCUGCGACAGCAGGUUGAAGCACUGAUGCAAAGAGUUAGGGCGACUUACACAAAACCCCCAAGCCACGAAGAAAUAAGUGCGUGUCGUCAGAAAUCAGACGAGACGCCAAUGGAAUAUCGUGCCCGUUUAGAAACGGUUUUUAGGACUAAUAGCGGGCUUCCUCAUUCUCCGCUGGCGGAUAAUCCAUACCAAAUACAGCUAAAAAUGUGGUUAAUUAGUGGUUUGUUGCCAAACGUGUCAGAUUUCAUAAAAGCAAACUGUGUCACACACCGCACCCUCACUGUUCCAGAGCUAAUGGAAUGGGCCGAACAUGCUUAUGAAGUCACUGAGAAAAAGAAAAUAAAAACUGAAUCAGCUAAUGUUAAUGUAUUGGCUGAGGCCAUGGCUGCAGCCCUGGUGAGCCAACGCUCAGGGUUUAAAAGACAGGGAAAAAAGCCAUAUCGCACCAGAACGCCUGAUGAGGAAAAACAAGCAAAAAUAGAUCGAGAAAAAAGACAAUGUUUCAUUUGUCAUGAGGAAGGACAUAUGGCAAGAGACUGCCCAAGAAAAAAGCAAAAAACAGACCAUACGUCGUUCGGGCAAACUCCUAGGCAGUGACGCCAGGACUGGCCGGAGGGACAUGCAAUCAGUGACUCCGGAACAGAUAAUGAAACCUCAGAGUGUGACAUAGCCUUUUUAGGGCAAGAUGAGGAUGCUGAUCAAUAUGACAAUGAUUUACCUGCAGAAUAUGAACAUCCCCCACCUUUAAAUCCAAAUCAUUUUGUUGAUUUCUCCAUUUAUGCAGCUGUAACAUUAACACAUGAAAAAUACCCAAAACGUACAUUGUUGGUGGGACCAAAACAAACACCAGUCACUUUUCUGUGUGAUACUGGAGCUGAUGUUUCUGUCCUCCGUGAUCA
rnacentral:lncRNA from 1 species